AUUGAACGCUGGCGGCAGGCCUAACACAUGCAAGUCGAGCGGGGUUUUCGGACCUAGCGGCGGACGGGUGAGUAAUGCGUAGGAAGCUGCCCGAUAGAGGGGGAUACCAGUUGGAAACGACUGUUAAUACCGCAUAAUGUCUACGGACCAAAGUGUGGGACCUUCGGGCCACAUGCUAUCGGAUGCGCCUACGUGGGAUUAGCUAGUUGGUGAGGUAAUGGCUCACCAAGGCGACGAUCCCUAGCUGGUUUGAGAGGAUGAUCAGCCACACUGGAAUUGAGACACGGUCCAGACUCCUACGGGAGGCAGCAGUGGGGAAUAUUGGACAAUGGGCGCAAGCCUGAUCCAGCCAUGCCGCGUGUGUGAAGAAGGCCUUCGGGCUGUAAAGCACUUUCAGCGAGGAGGAAGGGUGGUGUGUUAAUAGCACAUCAUUUUGACGUUACUCGCAGAAGAAGCACCGGCUAACUCUGUGCCAGCCGCCGCCGUAACAC
rnacentral:rRNA from 1 species